rnacentral:tRNA from 1 species
GCCGAGGUGGUGGAAUUGGUAGACACGCUAUCUUGAGGGGGUAGUGGGAGAAAUCCCGUGAGGGUUCGAGUCCCUCCUUCGGCA